rnacentral:rRNA from 1 species
AGAGUUUGAUCAUGGCUCAGGACGAACGCUGGCGGCACGCUUAACACAUGCAAGUCGAACGAGAGAAGAGGAGCUUGCUUUUCUGAUCUAGUGGCGGACGGGUGAGUAACACGUGAGCAAUCUGCCUUUCAGAGGGGGAUACCGAUUGGAAACGAUCGUUAAUACCGCAUAACAUAAUUGAACCGCAUGAUUUGAUUAUCAAAGAUUUAUCGCUGAAAGAUGAGCUCGCGUCUGAUUAGCUAGUUGGUAAGGUAACGGCUUACCAAGGCGACGAUCAGUAGCCGGACUGAGAGGUUGAUCGGCCACAUUGGGACUGAGACACGGCCCAGACUCCUACGGGAGGCAGCAGUGGGGAAUAUUGCACAAUGGAGGAAACUCUGAUGCAGCGAUGCCGCGUGAGGGAAGAAGGUUUUAGGAUUGUAAACCUCUGUCUCCAGGGACGAAAAAAGACGGUACCUGAGGAGGAAGCUCCGGCUAACUACGUGCCAGCAGCCGCGGUAAUACGUAGGGAGCGAGCGUUGUCCGGAAUUACUGGGUGUAAAGGGAGCGUAGGCGGGAUCGCAAGUCAGAUGUGAAAACUAUGGGCUUAACCCAUAAACUGCAUUUGAAACUGUGGUUCUUGAGUGAAGUAGAGGUAAGCGGAAUUCCUAGUGUAGCGGUGAAAUGCGUAGAUAUUAGGAGGAACAUCAGUGGCGAAGGCGGCUUACUGGGCUUUAACUGACGCUGAGGCUCGAAAGCGUGGGGAGCAAACAGGAUUAGAUACCCUGGUAGUCCACGCCGUAAACGAUGAUUACUAGGUGUGGGGGGACUGACCCCUUCCGUGCCGCAGCAAACGCAAUAAGUAAUCCACCUGGGGAGUACGACCGCAAGGUUGAAACUCAAAGGAAUUGACGGGGGCCCGCACAAGCAGUGGAGUAUGUGGAUUAAUUCGAAGCAACGCGAAGAACCUUACCAGGUCUUGACAUCGUAUGCAUAGCUCAGAGAUGAGUGAAAUCUCUUCGGAGACAUAUAGACAGGUGGUGCAUGGUUGUCGUCAGCUCGUGUCGUGAGAUGUUGGGUUAGGUCCCGCAACGAGCGCAACCCUUACUGUUAGUUGCUACGCAAGAGCACUCUAGCAGGACUGCCGUUGACAAAACGGAGGAAGGUGGGGAUGACGCCAAAUCAUCAUGCCCCUUAUGACCUGGGCCUCACACGUACUACAAUGGCUGUCAACAGAGGGAAGCAAAGCCGCGAGGUGGAGCGAACCCCUAAAAGCAGUCUUAGUUCGGAUUGUAGGCUGCAACCCGCCUACAUGAAGUCGGAAUUGCUAGUAAUCGCAGAUCAGCAUGCUGCGGUGAAUACGUUCCCGGGCCUUGUACACACCGCCCGUCACGCCAUGGGAGUCGGUAACACCCGAAGCCCGUAGUCUAACCGCAAGGAGGACGCAGUCGAAGGUGGGAUUGAUGACUGGGGUGAAGUCGUAACAAGGUA